rnacentral:rRNA from 1 species
CCUACGGGGUGCUGCAGUGGGGAAUAUUGGACAAUGGGCGAAAGCCUGAUCCAGCCAUGCCGCGUGUGUGAAGAAGGCCUUCGGGUUGUAAAGCACUUUCAGUGGGGAAGAAAGCCUUGGGGCUAAUACCCUCGAGGAAGGACAUCACCCACAGAAGAAGCACCGGCUAACUCCGUGCCAGCAGCCGCGGUAAUACGGAGUGUGCGAGCGUUAAUCGGAAUUACUGGGCGUAAAGCGCGCGUAGGCGGUCUGAUAAGCCGGUUGUGAAAGCCCCGGGCUCAACCUGGGAACGGCAUCCGGAACUGUCAGGCUAGAGUGCAGGAGAGGAAGGUAGAAUUCCCGGUGUAGCGGUGAAAUGCGUAGAGAUCGGGAGGAAUACCAGUGGCGAAGGCGGCCUUCUGGACUGACACUGACGCUGAGGUGCGAAAGCGUGGGUAGCAAACAGGAUUAGAUACCCCAGUAGUC